rnacentral:snRNA from 1 species
AUCGCUUCUUGGCCUUUUGGUUAAGAUCAAGUGUAGUAUCUGUUCUUAUCAGUUUAAUGGAAAAAUUAGCAGAAUUUCAGUGGCAGGGAAGGGUGAAGCAUAUUUUAACCAGAGGAACUAGACACUGCAAAGGCUAGCUGGAAUGGAUGCUGAUAGCCCCCCAGGGAAGUGAGCUUAGUGUAAAAUAAAUUGUUUGGAGAUUCAUG